GUUCUCUCCGAAAUAGCUUUAGGGCUAGCCUCGAGGUAAAGAGUCAUGGAGGUAGAGCACUGUUUGGACUAGGGGCCCUUCUCGGGUUACCGAAUUCAGAUAAACUCCGAAUGCCAUGUACUUAUACUCGGGAGUCAGACUGCGAGUGAUAAGAUCCGUAGUCGAAAGGGAAACAGCCCAGACCACCAGUUAAGGUCCCCAAAUAUAUGUUAAGUGGAAAAGGAUGUGGGGUUGCUUAGACAACCAGGAUGUUGGCUUAGAAGCAGCCACCAUUGAAAGAGUGCGUAAUAGCUCACUGGUCGAGUGACCCCGCGCCGAAAAUGUACCGGGGCUAAACAUAUUACCGAAACUGUGGAUGAACCUCUUUAGAGGUUCGUGGUAGGAGAGCGUUCUAAGGGCGGUGAAGUCAGACCGGAAGGACUGGUGGAGCGCUUAGAAGUGAGAAUGCCGGUAUGAGUAGCGAAAGAAGGGUGAGAAUCCCUUCCACCGAAUAUCUAAGGUUUCCUGAGGAAGGCUCGUCCGCUCAGGGUUAGUCGGGACCUAAGCCGAGGCCGAUAGGCGUAGGCGAUGGACAACAGGUAGAGAUUCCUGUACCAGUGCUAAUUGUUUAACCGAUGGGGUGACACAGAAGGAUAGGGAAUCGCACGAAUGGAAAUGUGCGUCCAAGCAGUGAGUGUGAGAAGUAGGCAAAUCCGCUUCUCGCGAAGCAUGAGCUGUGAUGGGGAAGGAAAUUAAGUACGGAAGUUCCUGAUUUCACGCUGUCAAGAAAAGCCUCUAGGAAGAGUAGUACUGCCCGUACCGCAAACCGACACAGGUAGAUGAGGAGAGAAUCCUAAGGUGAGCGAGAGAACUCUCGUUAAGGAACUCGGCAAAAUGACCCCGUAACUUCGGGAGAAGGGGUGCUCUAUUAGGGUGCAAGCCCGAGAGAGCCGCAGUGAAUAGGCCCAGGCGACUGUUUAGCAAAAACACAGGUCUCUGC
rnacentral:rRNA from 1 species